rnacentral:rRNA from 1 species
GAUGAACGCUGGCGGCGUGCCUAAUACAUGCAAGUCGAGCGAACAGACGCGGAGCUUGCUCCACUGACGUUAGCGGCGGACGGGUGAGUAACACGUGGAUAACCUACCUAUAAGACUGGGAUAACUUCGGGAAACCGGAGCUAAUACCGGAUAAUAUAUUGAACCGCAUGGUUCAAUAGUGAAAGACGGUUUUGCUGUCACUUAUAGAUGGAUCCGCGCCGCAUUAGCUAGUUGGUAAGGUAACGGCUUACCAAGGCGACGAUGCGUAGCCGACCUGAGAGGGGGAUCGGCCACACUGGAACGGAGACACGGUCCAGACUCCUACGGGAGGCAGCAGUAGGGAAUCUUCCGCAAAGGGCGAAAGCCUGACGGAGCAACGCCGCGUGAGUGAUGAAGGUCUUCGGAUCGUAAAACUCUGUUAUUAGGGAAGAACAAAUGUGUAAGGAACUAUGCACGUCUUGACGGGACCUAAGCAGAAAGCCACGGGUAACUACGUG